GAUGAACGCUGGCGGCGUGCCUAAUACAUGCAAGUCGAGCGAACAGACGAGGAGCUUGCUCCUCUGACGUUAGCGGCGGACGGGUGAGUAACACGUGGAUAACCUACCUAUAAGACUGGGAUAACUUCGGGAAACCGGAGCUAAUACCGGAUAAUAUAUUGAACCGCAUGGUUCAAUAGUGAAAGACGGUUUUGCUGUCACUUAUAGAUGGAUCCGCGCCGCAUUAGCUAGUUGGUAAGGUAACGGCUUACCAAGGCGACGAUGCGUAGCCGACCUGAGAGGGUGAUCGGCCACACUGGAACUGAGACACGGUCCAGACUCCUACGGGAGGCAGCAGUAGGGAAUCUUCCGCAAAGGGCGAAAGCCUGACGGAGCAACGCCGCGUGAGUGAUGAAGGUCUUCGGAUCGUAAAACUCUGUUAUUAGGGAAGAACAAAUGUGUAAGUAACUAUGCACAUCUUGACGGUACCUAAUCAGAAAGCCACGGCUAACUACGUG
rnacentral:rRNA from 1 species